rnacentral:lncRNA from 1 species
AUUAGCUGCAGGUAAGCUGUGCUGAUUUGAGCUCCUAGCCAGUUCACCCUGCAGUCAACAAUCAACUUGAGCUGACAGAAGAGUUAGGAUUUGUGGGUGAAUGGAUGUAAGGAAGGGACAACACUGACAACCUCUGCAGUGAAGGGACAACACCGACAACCUCUGCAGUGAAGAUAAACCCAGUGAAGCUAGAUGGCAUUCAAGAAAAGAGGUCUUAGGCUUGAAAUCACAGAGCAGAAUGUAAGGGAGCUGAUGUAUGUGGAAAGCAGGUGCUGGUUAUAGGCACACAUGGUGACAGUCCAGGUUGGCAGAACCAUCUCUCAAAAUCACAAUUGCUGUGCUUAAACCUGCCUGGGAGUAUCAGCCCCAACUGGAUUCCCAUCACAAGGGCUUAUUUCCAGAAAAUGAUAUUCCUGGGACAGUAUAAAUCCCUACAUGAAGAUCACUCACCUUAACUGCUUGUACUGGUAUAAUUUUACUUGCCUACACACACAAAUGAACAGAAAGAUGUCACUUGGGGUUUGAAAACAGCUUAAAUCAACUGCAGUAGUAUGGAAAAUGAACCACUCACUAAAGUCAGAAAACGACAAGAGAAGGGACUUAAACAGGUGGAGGAAAGGUUGAUUUCAGGUAGACUGAAGGAGUAGAAGAGAGAAGAGUAUUCAGGUAGCCAGUAGAGCAUAGAGAAUGAAACAGAGAGGACUAGGGCAGUGUAAAGCAGUCUCUGACUACAGUAAGUCCAAGGUCACUGAAUAGCAAAAAAAAGAAUUACAAUAGGUGAAACAAAGGACUUCAGGACACAAAAAUGGUUGCUAGAACAACUGCUGAACUGCUGGUUGCACUGAGGGUACAACCGAGCACAAAACCGCCAUGAAGAACAGAUGUAAUUGGGAGAAGCUGAUAAAAGCAAGAUCAAGAAUGCGAUGAAAAUCAGCUGCACACUUAUGGAGAUGAGAAGGGAGAGCGUUUCUAGAGUAAUUAUUAAAACACAGUAAUCUCAACAUGGUUUUGUGAAAAAGUUCUUCACUGCCCUUGUACUUCAGAGCUCACAAAGGAGAAAAGCAGAUAAUAAAAGGUCAUAUUUACAAGAAAGUCA